rnacentral:rRNA from 1 species
UACGUAGGGUGCGAGCGUUGUCCGGAAUUACUGGGCGUAAAGAGCUCGUAGGCGGUUUGUCGCGUCUGCCGUGAAAGUCCGGGGCUCAACUCCGGAUCUGCGGUGGGUACGGGCAGACUAGAGUGAUGUAGGGGAGACUGGAAUUCCUGGUGUAGCGGUGAAAUGCGCAGAUAUCAGGAGGAACACCGAUGGCGAAGGCAGGUCUCUGGGCAUUAACUGACGCUGAGGAGCGAAAGCAUGGGGGAGCGAACAGG